rnacentral:rRNA from 1 species
CUGGGGGAUAGUGGCGAACGGGUGAGUAACACGUGAGUAACCUGCCCUUGACUCUGGGAUAAGCCUGGGAAACUGGGUCUAAUACCGGAUACGACUAUCUGACGCAUGUCAUGGUGGUGGAAAGCUUUUGCGGUUUUGGAUGGACUCGCGGCCUAUCAGCUUGUUGGUGGGGUAAUGGCCUACCAAGGCGACGACGGGUAGCCGGCCUGAGAGGGUGACCGGCCACACUGGGACUGAGACACGGCCCAGACUCCUACGGGAGGCAGCAGUGGGGAAUAUUGCACAAUGGGCGAAAGCCUGAUGCAGCGACGCCGCGUGAGGGAUGACGGCCUUCGGGUUGUAAACCUCUUUCAGUAGGGAAGAAGCGAAAGUGACGGUACCUGCAGAAGAAGCGCCGGCUAACUACGUGCCAGCAGCCGCGGUAAUACGUAGGGCGCAAGCGUUAUCCGGAAUUAUUGGGCGUAAAGAGCUCGUAGGCGGUUUGUCGCGUCUGCUGUGAAAGACCGGGGCUCAACUCCGGUUCUGCAGUGGGUACGGGCAGACUAGAGUGCAGUAGGGGAGACUGGAAUUCCUGGUGUAGCGGUGAAAUGCGCAGAUAUCAGGAGGAACACCGAUGGCGAAGGCAGGUCUCUGGGCUGUAACUGACGCUGAGGAGCGAAAGCAUGGGGAGCGAACAGGAUUAGAUACCCUGGUAGUCCAUGCCGUAAACGUUGGGCACUAGGUGUGGGGGACAUUCCACGUUUUCCGCGCCGUAGCUAACGCAUUAAGUGCCCCGCCUGGGGAGUACGGCCGCAAGGCUAAAACUCAAAGGAAUUGACGGGGGCCCGCACAAGCGGCGGAGCAUGCGGAUUAAUUCGAUGCAACGCGAAGAACCUUACCAAGGCUUGACAUGAACCGGAAAGACCUGGAAACAGGUGCCCCGCUUGCGGUCGGUUUACAGGUGGUGCAUGGUUGUCGUCAGCUCGUGUCGUGAGAUGUUGGGUUAAGUCCCGCAACGAGCGCAACCCUCGUUCUAUGUUGCCAGCGCGUUAUGGCGGGGACUCAUAGGAGACUGCCGGGGUCAACUCGGAGGAAGGUGGGGACGACGUCAAAUCAUCAUGCCCCUUAUGUCUUGGGCUUCACGCAUGCUACAAUGGCCGGUACAAAGGGUUGCGAUACUGUGAGGUGGAGCUAAUCCCAAAAAGCCGGUCUCAGUUCGGAUUGGGGUCUGCAACUCGACCCCAUGAAGUCGGAGUCGCUAGUAAUCGCAGAUCAGCAACGCUGCGGUGAAUACGUUCCCGGGCCUUGUACACACCGCCCGUCAAGUCACGAAAGUUGGUAACACCCGAA